AGCAGGUGGAAGUGCUGCCAGGAGGGCCUGGCUGCAGGUGGGUCACUCCCAGUAUGACCUUCCUCUCUAGCUCCUCCUUCACUUUCUGCUUCCUGGCUGCCAUAGAAUGAACAGCUGUACUUCACAGGCCCUUCCUGCCUUGGAGUUCGCUGACUAUGGACUAAAUCCUCUAAGAACCACAAUCCAGGUGGUGCUGGGGAUCAAAUCCAUGGCCUCACACAUGCUAGAAUACUGUAACCUAACUCAAGUUGAAAGAGGAACAGCCAAGAAAAUUUUUCAAGUAAACCACAUUAAGGAAAAUGACAGAGAAAAAAAGACAACAUGAAAAAAUGUAACAGCCAUGAAAACAUGAGCUUAUUAUUAACCAUGAUAAGUCAGCAACGCUUCUCUUCUAGUGUUGAUGGCAGUGCCACAGCUAAUACAUCCUUUUAAAAAAUGUUUUCUUGGAAGUACCAGAUAUCA